rnacentral:rRNA from 1 species
CAUACGGGGGGCAGCAGUGGGGAGUAUUGCGCAAUGGGGGAAACCCUGAUGCAGCGACGCCGCGUGAGUGAGGAAGUAUUUCGGUAUGUAAAGUUCUAUCAGCAGGGAAGAAAAUGACGGUACCUGACUAAGAAGCCCCGGCUAACUACGUGCCAGCAGCCGCGGUAAUACGUAGGGGGCAAGCGUUAUCCGGAUUUACUGGGUGUAAAGGGAGCGUAGACGGCAGCACAAGUCUGGAGUGAAAUCCCGGGGCUUAACCCCGGAACUGCUUUGGAAACUGUGCGGCUGGAGUGCAGGAGGGGUAA